GAUGAUACGAGACUACUGAUGCUGACCGAUCAAAACAAGUUAAGCUAUGUGGGGGCCCUGAGCAGGAUUUGAUUUGGGAGCCCACUGUACCUCGUUGUAACUCCUGGGUAAAGGGAGAGACAGCCCUGGAUCAAAACAUAACGUAGGCUAUUGGCAGCAGGAACAGGGACAGGAGCAGAAUGACUGUGCUUUAGCCUGGCGGAUGGGAAAGUUUCCCUCACUGGGCAGUGAACAGACUGAGGACACACUGGGACUACUGUACUGGACUACUGUACCAAUACCACCCUCAUGAGGAAUGAAGUGACAGGAGAGAACAGACAGCAGGACAGAGGUUGGUUCCACUUCACCCUGCCGUCUGUACCCACAGCCUGUAGCUGAGGCUAGUCGGUCACUGACAUGAGAAGACAGAGAGCAGUAAACUCUCUCAUUCAGACAGAUACUGCUGCUGUAGGUAUAUCUAUAUGAUAUGGGUAACAGGCUAUCCCAUGAAGACAUCUCCCCUGCUGAGCUGGAUGCACUAUGGAGGGAACCACCGUACACGCUAGCGGGAACCAAUGAGCACUUCACAGGAAAUGAUGUUACGAAUCGAGGUAGA
rnacentral:lncRNA from 8 species